UACGUAGGGUGCAAGCGUUGUCCGGAAUUAUUGGGCGUAAAGAGCUUGUAGGCGGUUUGUCGCGUCUGCUGUGAAAUUUCGGGGCUCAACCCCGAACUUGCAGUGGGUACGGGCAGACUAGAGUGUGGUAGGGGGAGACUGGAAUUCCUGGUGUAGCGGUGAAAUGCGCAGAUAUCAGGAGGAACACCGAUGGCGAAGGCAGGUCUCUGGGCCACUACUGACGCUGAGAAGCGAAAGCAUGGGGAGCGAACAGGA
rnacentral:rRNA from 1 species